rnacentral:rRNA from 1 species
UUACGGGAGGCAGCAGUCGAGAAUUUUUCUCAAUGGGGGAAACCCUGAAGGAGCGACGCCGCGUGGGGGAUGAAUGGCUUCGGCCCGUAAACCCCUGUCAUUUGCGAUCAAACCUUACGACCUAACACGUCGUAAGCUGAUAGUAGCGGAAGAGGAAGGGACGGCUAACUCUGUGCCAGCAGCCGCGGUAAUACAGAGGUCCCAAGCGUUGUUCGGAUUCACUGGGCGUAAAGGGUGCGUAGGCGGUCGGGUAAGUCUGACGUGAAAUCUUCAAGCUCAACUUGGAAACUGCGUCGGAUACUAUUCGGCUAGAGGAAUGGAGGGGAGACUGGAAUACUUGGUGUAGCAGUGAAAUGCGUAGAUAUCAAGUGGAACACCAGUGGCGAAGGCGAGUCUCUGGACAUUUCCUGACGCUGAGGCACGAAAGCCAGGGGAGCAAACGGGAUUAGAUACCCUGGUAGC